GCACUGCUGAUGAGUCCCAAAGAGAACGAAACAGCUGUCCAGUGC
rnacentral:hammerhead_ribozyme from 1 species